AAAUUCUUGUUUUUCGUUCAUACUUGAGCUUUUUCUUUUCUUUGUCGUGGAUGGAGUACUGAUACUGCUUUCUUCAUAGCCUUAGCCAACUAAAUUUUGUUUUUUCCGAGCUGAACUGACCGUAUUCGUGAGCUUUUGCUUUUGAUCAAUGAUCUGAACUCCGGAUCCACUUAGCCAACUGAGCUUUCGCGUUACUCUUUCCGAGCUGGACUUACAGACCUGUGAGCUAUGUCUUUACUCGAUGGGUUGAGCUUUGAAUCUCUUUAGUCAGCUAAGCUCUUAAGUUACGUUUUCCGAACUGGACUGACCGACCUGUGAGCUCUAUUUCGGUUUACUUUUUCCGAGCUAGAAUGCCGACCUGUGAGCUCUACUGUUAUUUCAUAAGUUGAACUCUGAGCCCUUAGCUCUGUAUGUUUCCGAGGUGCCCUUGUUGCCUCCGAUCUCGCAGCAUUUAUUCAAUAACAAUCGAAUCAAAUCUUAUAACUUUUUAAGUGAGAAGCAGGUCUGACUUUUAUCAUGCUCCCACCUGUUUAUACUUUUGAGUCUUUUCAUGGCUUGCCCCUCUAUUUCCUUGGUAUUUACCGUGGAAGUGGUGAAGUGGUGAAUCUGGCAAGUUGAGUUACUGUGACUGACGAGUUGGGCUUGUAUUAUGUAGAUGGCAAAUGGGCUUAUGUAGAUGGGCUGUCAUUGUGGACUUGGCCCUUGACGGAUGUGGACAAGCCCAGCGAUCAUCCUUUUGCCCCUUUACCUUCUCGCUGGUUAUUAGAUAACCGUUGAGAGGGUAAACUUCGAGAGUAAUUAAUGACCGCGUCGCUCCAAGACAAAACUGUUCAGAUCAACGUUUCAUCUCAUUAUUGCCUUUCAUUUCGAAUUCCUUCUGUCUUCUGAAGAAACUAGCUCUUUUCUGCUCUCUGUCUCCCUGCAACUCCUUCUGCUUUUUUCACCUUAUUGCAUUUUCAGGUACGCUUCCUUGUUCUUCCAUGGCCCUUUCAGAGCUUCCUGAUGUUGUUGACAUUGAGUCGCAUAUUACUCCUUCCAACAUAACUAAGUACAUUUCCCGGAGGCUCUUAGAUACUCCUCUGUAUCUGAUUCGAGCGCCUCUUCCAAAUGAAAGGAUAGUCCUUCCUUACCCUCCCCCUUCGGGUUUGGUGGAUCCCCAAGAGGGUCGUCGUAUAGUGUUUUUCUUAAAGCAGAGAGAAUUCGG
rnacentral:lncRNA from 1 species